GUCUUUCAUCGCCCCACUGUCCCAAUGAGAAUAUAUAGGUUUUAUUGUCACAGCAGCAAGAAAGUAAGCGGGAACAUGUAUAAGCACGCCAAGGAUCACAAGAGAAGCUAGACCUCCGCACUGACCUAUGGAACAAUAGCUCCAAAACAUCAUCCAUCAGAGCUGUUGAAACAUCCCCUGUACUGUGUUACACAAGAAUGUGUCACACAGUGGAAGAAUCAGCCUUCAGCUCAGAGUGUAAAUCCAACCUGACAGGACUGCUGAGACGGCUCUGCGUCCAC